rnacentral:rRNA from 1 species
UACGGAGGGUGCAAGCGUUAAUCGGAAUUACUGGGCGUAAAGCGCACGCAGGUGGCUGAGUCAGUCGAUUGUGAAAGCCCUGGGCUUAACCUGGGAAUUGCAGUCGAUACUACUCGGCUCGAGUAUGGGAGAGGGCAGUGGAAUUCCCGGUGUAGCGGUGAAAUGCGUAGAUAUCGGGAGGAACAUCAGUGGCGAAGGCGGCGACCUGGGCCAAUAUUGACGCUGAGGUGCGAAAGCGUGGGGAGCAAACAGG